rnacentral:sRNA from 1 species
GGUGAUUUGCUUUGAACAUAUGAAUUUUGCAAGAGACACAAACAUUCAGACAAUAGAAGACACUGUCUUGCCUUCAGGCUAUUUUUAUGAUUCCCACAAAUCCACCACCAACAUUCAGAAAGCCAGAACUUUGGUCCGAUGAUUUCACCGAUUUUGUUAAAAAGUGUUUGGUGAAGAAUCCUGAGCAGAGAGCUACUGCAACACAACUUUUACAGCAUCCUUUUAUCAAGAAUGCAAAACCUGUAUCAAUAUUAAGAGACCUGAUCACAGAAGCUAUGGAGAUCAAAGCUAAAAGACAUGAGGAACAGCAACGAGAAUUGGAAGAGGAAGAAGAAAAUUCGGAUGAAGAUGAGCUGGAUUCCCACACCAUGGUGAAGACUAGUGUGGAGAGUGUGGGCACCAUGCGGGCCACAAGCACGAUGAGUGAAGGGGCCCAGACCAUGAUUGAACAUAAUAGCACGAUGUUGGAAUCCGACUUGGGGACCAUGGUGAUAAACAGUGAGGAUGAGGAAGAAGAAGAUGGAACUAUGAAAAGUA